rnacentral:rRNA from 1 species
GCACAAGCGGCGGAGCAUGUGGUUUAAUUCGACGCAACGCGAAGAACCUUACCAGGGCUUGACAUCCCCUGACCGCGUAUGAAAGUACGUUUUCACCCUCGGGUGACAGGGAGACAGGUGGUGCAUGGUUGUCGUCAGCUCGUGUCGUGAGAUGUUGGGUUAAGUCCCGCAACGAGCGCAACCCCUACGUUUAGUUGCUAACGCGUGAAGGCGAGCACUCUAGACGAACUGCCGUUGACAAAACGGAGGAAGGUGGGAUGACGUCAAAUCAUCAUGCCCCUUAUGUUCUGGGCUACACACGUGCUACAAUGGGCGGUACAAAGGGUAGCGAUGCCGCGAGGUGAAGCCAAUCCCAAAAAGCCGGUCUCAGUUCGGAUUGCAGGCUGCAAUUCGCCUGCAUGAAGUCGGAAUCGCUAGUAAUCGCAGGUCAGCAUGCCGCGGUCGAAUACGUUCCCGGGCCUU